CAUUGUGUAUCUCCCACUCAACUUUACUCUGGUGACUCUGGCGAGUCUGGCAACGGUGUCGGACAGCACGAGUAGUAAAUAGUCUACAGUCACGGAGCCGUUUUCAUCUCUCUCGCUUCGAUUGGGUCUAAUUUGGUCUCAUUUUCGCGUAGCCGUCGCUGCAGAUCACUGAAAUAUACCAAAGGAACCUGUAGUUCCAGUAGUAUUACAUACCUAUAUGAGUUCCAGGGUGCAGACAUACAUCAACAUAUCGAGGAACUAAGAUGGCAGCAAGAAGUACCUGCUGAAUGGGAAGCGUGGCUAAGGUAUCGCAGAAAAGAACCACCGUCAGAUGCUGAAGUAUUGCAGAGUCUGGCA
rnacentral:misc_RNA from 1 species